rnacentral:rRNA from 1 species
UACGUAGGGUGCAAGCGUUGUCCGGAAUUAUUGGGCGUAAAGAGCUCGUAGGCGGUUUGUUGCGUCGGCUGUGAAAUCCCGAGGCUCAACCUCGGGUCUGCAGUCGAUACGAGCAAACUAGAGUGUUGCAGGGGAGACUGGAAUUCCUGGUGUAGCGGUGAAAUGACGCAGAUAUCAGGAGGAACACCGGUGGCGAAGGCGGGUCGCUGGACAAGUUCCUGACACUGAGGC